AACGAACGCUGGCGGCAGGCCUAACACAUGCAAGUCGAACGCCGUAGCAAUACGGAGUGGCAGACGGGUGAGUAACGCGUGGGAACCUUCCCUAUGGUUCGGAAUAGCUCAGGGAAACCUGGGGUAAUACCGGAUAAGCCCUUCGGGGGAAAGAUUUAUCGCCAUUGGAUGGGCCCGCGUCGGAUUAGCUAGUUGGUGGGGUAACGGCCUACCAAGGCGACGAUCCGUGGCUGGUCUGAGAGGAUGAUCAGCCACACUGGGACUGGGACACGGGCCAGACUCCUACGGGAGGCAGCAGUGGGGAAUAUUGGACAAUGGGCGAAAGCCUGAUCCAGCCAUGCCGCGUGAGUAACGAAGGCCUUAGGGUUGUAAAGCUCUUUUGGCGGGGAAGAUAAUGACGGUACCCGCAGAAUAAGCUCCGGCUAACUUCGUGCCAGCCGCCGCCGUAA
rnacentral:rRNA from 1 species